GACGAACGCUGGCGGCGUGCCUAACACAUGCAAGUCGAGCGAGUGAAUUUCCUCGGGAUUGAAGCUAGCGGCGGACGGGUGAGUAACACGUGGGCAACCUGCCUCAUAGAGGGGAAUAGCCUUUCGAAAGGAAGAUUAAUACCGCAUAAGAUUGUAGCUUCGCAUGAAGUAGCAAUUAAAGGAGCGAUCCGCUAUGAGAUGGGCCCGCGGCGCAUUAGCUAGUUGGUGAGGUAACGGCUCACCAAGGCGACGAUGAGUAGCCGACCUGAGAGGGUGAUCGGCCACAUUGGGACUGAGACACGGCCCAGACUCCUAUGGGAGGCAGCAGUGGGGAAUAUUGCACAAUGGGGGAAACCCUGAUGCAGCAACGCCGCGUGAGUGAUGACGGCCUUCGGGUUGUAAAGCUCUGUCUUCAGGGACGAUAAUGACGGUACCUGAGGAGGAAGCCACGGCUAACUACGUGCCAGCAGCCGCCGUAACAC
rnacentral:rRNA from 1 species